UGAGGAAUAUUGGUCAAUGGACGCAAGUCUGAACCAGCCAAGUAGCGUGCAGGAUGACGGCCCUAUGGGUUGUAAACUGCUUUUAUAUGGGGAUAAAGUGAGGGACGUGUCCCUUAUUGCAUGUACCAUACGAAUAAGGACCGGCUAAUUCCGUGCCAGCAGCCGCGGUAAUACGGAAGGUCCAGGCGUUAUCCGGAUUUAUUGGGUUUAAAGGGAGCGUAGGCUGUUUGUUAAGCGUGUUGUGAAAUGUAGGAGCUCAACUUUUAGAUUGCAGCGCGAACUGGCAGACUUGAGUGCGCACAACGUAGGCGGAAUUCAUGGUGUAGCGGUGAAAUGCUUAGAUAUCAUGACGAACUCCGAUUGCGAAGGCAGCUUACGGGAGCGCAACUGACGCUGAAGCUCGAAGGUGCGGGUAUCGAACAGG
rnacentral:rRNA from 1 species